rnacentral:rRNA from 1 species
UACAUAGGGGGCAAGCGUUGUUCGGAAUUACUGGGCGUAAAGGGCGCGUAGGCGGCCUCUUAAGUCGAACGUGAAAUCCCCGGGCUCAACCCGGGAACUGCGUCCGAUACUGGGGGGCUUGAAUCCGGGAGAGGGAUGUGGAAUUCCAGGUGUAGCGGUGAAAUGCGUAGAUAUCUGGAGGAACACCGGUGGCGAAGGCGGCAUCCUGGACCGGUAUUGACGCUGAGGCGCGAAAGCCAGGGGAGCAAACGGG